UUCUGUACAUGGUGGCUACACGUGUCGAUUCUUCCAUUCCUAAGGAAAAGAUGCUUGGAUUAUAAUUAAUUAUUUUUAACACUAUACCAUUGCUAUUCCUGACAUUUUCAUUAUCGUGGUUUGGAGUAUGCGAGCUCACAUGGUACCUGGAUUUUUAAGAAGUAUGGCUUGAAAAUAUUGGAAACAGUCAAGGUCAGCACUGAAGGCAAACAUCUCACUCCCUUUUUCUCCUUUGAGCUAUUAGAAGGGAAAAAGACUUUGAGGUGAAUCAGGAAACAAUUCGAUUGAUUACUUUUAAUGGGAAACCUGAAUGAUUUCACUUGAUCUCCAAUGAAUUAUGUAUCAAGGACUUCCUCAUACCUAUUCAUAUUCAGGUUCUCAAUAAAUUUUUAACCUUUGAAGUACAUGGAAAUAUUAUGUACACACAGUAUAUCAUGGGAAGUAAAAGAUACGAAGCCUUUAUGAUAUCUCUUGAGGGAAUUGAUUGUCUUUCUUGGGUCAUCUGUGUUUUCUUUUCCUGAUAGCUCAAAAGGAGAAGGAGAAGGUGAGAUGGUAAGUGGAACAAUCAGAAGUGCCCCAGAUUCAGAGGGAAGUCCUGCUCGCCUUUGACAUUUGGUAAAAGAAGAAUGUUAAUGACUAGGAAAAUCAUUACAAGAUGUUUGUAACCUGUGCAUUUUGUCAUUUUUCCAUGUUAUGUUAUGAUGCUCUUCUUUCAAUAGAGUGUAUAGGGUGUAUUUGCUGCAUGAUUUGGUAGGGCGUUUUGGAUCCACUUACUCUAAUAUCUAACACUGCAUAUGAUUAAGUGCACAGUGUCUCAGUGAAACUAGUUGGAAUGCCCUUAUCUACAGGAGCUAGUCUAGUUCUCUUUUUUACAUGCCAACUUCAUAUGUGUUCUUGUAGAAGGAAGGAGAAUUAUAAUUGUACAUAAGAAAAGCUCAAGUUGCAUGGAGAAAAUAGCAGUGAUCACAUCGAUCCACUUGAAAAUCUCUGUAAGAAAAGUAUUUUGCUUGCUUAUUUCAGUUUGUAUGUUGUUCCAAUGACUUUAAACUUCCAAUCAUGGUAAAUUUGUUUUCACAUGAAAAAAAUUAAUCCUUGACUAGCCCA